CGGCGGCCGGGUGGCGGCGCGCGGUCAUGCCUCGGCCCGCGCCCGGGGCGAGAGCUACCGGCGGUGGCUCGGCGCCCGUACGGCCCGGCUGUCGCGGCC
rnacentral:tRNA from 1 species